rnacentral:rRNA from 1 species
UACGUAGGGCGCAAGCGUUAUCCGGAAUUAUUGGGCGUAAAGAGCUCGUAGGCGGUUUGUCGCGUCUGCCGUGAAAGUCCGGGGCUCAACUCCGGAUCUGCGGUGGGUACGGGCAGACUAGAGUGAUGUAGGGGAGACUGGAAUUCCUGGUGUAGCGGUGAAAUGCGCAGAUAUCAGGAGGAACACCGAUGGCGAAGGCAGGUCUCUGGGCCACUACUGACGCUGAGACGCGAAAGCGUGGGGAGCGAACAGG